UACGUAGGGUGCGAGCGUUGUCCGGAUUUAUUGGGCGUAAAGAGCUCGUAGGCGGUUUGUCGCGUCGGCCGUGAAAUCUCCACGCUUAACGUGGAGCGUGCGGUCGAUACGGGCAGUCUUGAGUUCGGUAGGGGAGACUGGAAUUCCUGGUGUAGCGGCGAAAUGCGUAGAGAUCGGGAGGAACACCCGUGGCGAAGGCGGUUCUCUGGUCCGGACCUGACGCUGAGGUGCGAAAGCGUGGGGAGCGAACAGG
rnacentral:rRNA from 1 species